rnacentral:rRNA from 1 species
CACGUAGGCGGCAGUGUAAUCACAGGUGAAAUCCCUCGGCUUAACCGAGGAACCGCCUGCGAAACUGCAUUGCUUGAGUCCGGGAGGGGGGAGCGGAAUUCCCAGUGUAGCGGUGAAAUGCGUAGAUACUGGGAGGAACACCGGUGGCGAAGGCGGCUCCCUGGACCGGUACUGACGCUGAGGUGCGAAAGCGUGGGUAGCAAACA